GGUAGGACAGAGCAGCACUGGUCCAGUAGCGAGGGCAAACCUGUGGCUGUGAAAAUCUCAAGACCUUCUAUGGCCCGUGUAAUCGACCUAUAUCUUAAGGCUUUGUAGGAGGAUGAAGGUUGCUAACCGAGAUUUAAACUGUGCCUACUUUACACACAAGGAGAAGCUGAGGCUCAGGAAGGUUAGGUGGCCUGGCCAAGGUCACGCAGUUGUAAACAUGGAUUUGAACUCAGUUCUGUCUGUUUUCCCCAAACCUUCCUCUCCAAGAUGGAAGGGUCAAAGGAGGCCACAAGAACACCAUCACCACUGAUUUGCGCAGAAUCAUAUCCCAGAGUUGGGCUAAGGGCUUGUUCAGUCCUCAGAAUGCCAUGAAGUGGACAUCACUCUAAUUUUACCGAUGAAAGAUGGGCUGAGAAAGGCUACAUACUGUGCCCUGCUCACAGUGACCAGGGAGUGACACUGAAUCCCUACCUAUGCCCAUGGGACUGUGCCCCAAAUGUGUGUUCUUACUCAGUGAGCCUUCAACUUCAGUUUGCCUGGGAAUCCCCAGAGAUCUUGUUAAAUGCAGAUUCCUAUUUAGUAGACCUUAAGGGUGGGGAUGCCGAUGAGUUCAGCAGGGCUCUGAACAAGGGCCUUAUUGCUCCCCUAUCCUGUUAAGCCCAGCAUCUUUUUCAGGUGACUUACCACCACCUAUACCCCAGGAAGCAUCUCGAUCAGGCCCAGUGGUCAUGGGACACUUGGAAAUGUGCCUUUCUCUCUCUUUCCUCCUUUGAACAUUUCCAGAGUAAGAUAUGCUGUUUACUAUUUUUGGAAGAAUUUGCCUGACAAAUAAGCAAAGAAAUAGAAGGCACCACCAGCGAGAGAGGAGACAAGGCAGAUGAAAACGGUAUCCUGAACACAAAUGCGGAGGGUGGUGAGGAGUGGCGUCUACCACCACACUCCAGUGUUCUCACCUCGGACUUCUGUUCUCCUGAACCAUGGGAAACACAUUUUUAUCACUGGCCUUCCCUUCAUGAACUCAGCCUGCCCGCCCACUGCCGAAAGAGCCAGGAGUGGUUCCCUCUGGCUAGCGCCAAGAGGUGGAGAAUGGAGACUGUGGAUGUGGUGAGGGGUCUGCUGCUGGUGUGAGCCCUUCCUUUAGAUGAUCCUGCAUCACAAGUGGCCUCUCUACGCUCCUGGGAUUUCUUCUCUCCUGUGACACACUCCAGUUACCGACAAGCUUGUCAAUAACCGAUGUAUUUGUAGCUUUUCUCAUCACUGUAACAGGAGCAACUUAAGAGUGGAUAGGUGUUGUUUGACUCAUGGUUUCAGGGGUGCAGGCUAUCACAGUGGGGAAGGCAUGGCAGCUGGGUGGCCCCAGAGUGUGAGGUGGCAGCUGGUUUACACCAUGGCUGAUCAGAGAGCUAGGGCUGGACAAACAACCUGUAAGGCAGUGGUUCUCAACCUUCCUAAUACAGUUCCUCAUGUUGUCGGGACCCUCAACCAGAAAAUUAUUUUGUUGCUACUUCAUAACUGUAAUUUUGCUACUGUUAUGAAUUGUAAUAUGAAUAUCUGAGAAGCAGGGUAUCUGAUAUGCGACCCCCAAAGGGCUUGCAACCCACAGGUUGAGAACCAUUGCUUUAAGGCCUACCCUCUGUGAUCCACCCCCACCAGCCUAUCUCCAUCACAAGAGUCUAAAACCUUCCCAAGAAGCACCAGCUGUGAGCCCAGGGUUUAAACCCCUGAGCCUGUGGGGCACCCUUUACAUUCAAACCAUAUGACUGGGGAAGAAUGUCCUUCUGAUAGGAUAAUGGGGCUGGGUGGGGGCAGCAUGUGGUUCAGGAAGGCGAGCAGGUGGGCUUCUUUUGGUGUCACCUGGAGGAAAAACUGUGCAAGGUAUGCCUGGAACCCAGAGAAAGAAAAACAGUGCAUGCAAAGGGAGCCAGACCGAGAUCUGGGUGGGAAGUAAUGUGGCUGUGGCUGUGGCUGUGGCCCGGAGGACUGGCAGCUUGCUAGGCCCUGGGAGUUUCCUUUGCUUCUUAGAAACAUCUUAUCUCACACCUUAGGCACUGGGCUCCAAAAAGCCCACUCAUGCACCAGGUGCGGAUUCCAAUCCCCCUGCCUGAGGGUCCCCAAACAGCUGAAGCCAAACAACUGUCUCGAGUAUUCAGAGGGCCUAGUCCAGUCCCAUGGGGGCUCCAUAGCCUUGGUGCAGGGGGGAGGGGCUUGGAUCUGCCUCAAAUGAAUGAAUGUAUGUACCAGACUCUGCUGACUCACCAUGGGAGACCUUGACUUGGAGGA